rnacentral:tRNA from 1 species
AGGUAUAGUGGCCGAGGGUGAGGUGGCAGGCUGUAGWCCUGAUAUACGUGGGUAACAGAUACCAUCUCUAUC